rnacentral:ribozyme from 1 species
UGCCCAGCAACUCCUAUCCCUACCUCCUCGUGGUACUGGUCGGGGUACGAGUAGCCUUGGGGAAGA